UACGUAGGGGGCUAGCGUUGUCCGGAAUCAUUGGGCGUAAAGCGCGUGUAGGCGGUCCGGUAAGUCCGCUGUGAAAGUCGGGGGCUCAACCCUCGGAUGCCGGUGGAUACUGUCGGGCUAGAGUGCGGAAGAGGCGAGUGGAAUUCCUGGUGUAGCGGUGAAAUGCGCAGAUAUCAGGAGGAACACCAAUUGCGAAGGCAGCUCGCUGGGACGUAACUGACGCUGAGGUGCGAAAGCGUGGGGAGCAAACAGG
rnacentral:rRNA from 1 species